UACGGAGGGUGCGAGCGUUGUUCGGAAUUAUUGGGCGUAAAGGGCGCGCAGGCGGUCUGUUAAGUCUGAUGUGAAAGCCCCGGGCUUUACCCGGGAAGUGCAUUGGAAACUGGGAGACUUGAAUACGGGAGAGGAGAGUGGAAUUCCUGGUGUAGGAGUGAAAUCCGCAGAUAUCAGGAAGAACACCGGUGGCGAAGGCGGCUCUCUGGACCGAUAUUGACGCUGAGGCGCGAAAGCGUGGGGAGCAAACAGG
rnacentral:rRNA from 1 species